AGUAACACGUGGAUAACCUACCUAUAAGACUGGGAUAACUUCGGGAAACCGGAGCUAAUACCGGAUAAUAUAUUGAACCGCAUGGUUCAAUGGUGAAAGAACGGUUUUGCUGUCACUUAUAGAUGGAUCCGCGCCGCAUUAGCUAGUUGGUAAGGUAACGGCUUACCAAGGCAACGAUGCGUAGCCGACCUGAGAGGGUGAUCGGCCACACUGGAACUGAGACACGGUCCAGACUCUACGGGAGGCAGCAGCU
rnacentral:rRNA from 1 species